rnacentral:rRNA from 1 species
GACGUAGGGUGGGAGCGUUGUCCGGAUUUAUUGGGCGUAAAGAGCUCGUAGGCGGCUCGUCGCGUCGACCGUGAAAACCCGCGGCUUAACUGCGGGCUUGCGGUUGAUACGGGCGGGCUAGAGUUCGGUAGGGGAGACUGGAAUUCCUGGUGUAGCGGUGAAAUGCGCAGAUAUCAGGAGGAACACCGGUGGCGAAGGCGGGUCUCUGGGCCGAUACUGACGCUGAGGAGCGAAAGCGUGGGGAGCGAACAGG